UACGGAGGGUGCAAGCAUUGAUCGGAAUUACUGGGCGUAAAGGGCGCGUAGGCGGUUUGAUAAGUCAGAUGUGAAAUUCCGGGGCUCAACCCCGGAGCUGCAUUUGAAACUGUCGAGCUAGAGUUCAGUUAGGGUAAACGGAAUUCCACGUGUAGCGGUGAAAUGCGUAGAUAUGUGGAAGAACACCGGUGGUGAAGACGGUUUACUGGGCUGAUACUGACGCUGAGGCGCGAAAGCAUGGGGAGCAAACAGGAUUAGAUACCCCGGUAGUCC
rnacentral:rRNA from 1 species